rnacentral:tRNA from 1 species
GUCUUGGUAGCUCAGUUGGUAGAGCACGUGACUUUUAAUCACGGGGUCGCACAGUUCGAGCCUGGCCCGAGACA